AUUGGGUCUGUCUAACCUGCCUUUCUGCCUCGUCUCUGUAACCUGCUGUCUCGCUUUGAGCCUCACCUCCACUCAGGUUGCCCAGCAGUGAUGGUGGUGGUGGUGGGGGCUCUCGCUGCCGUGGGGGCUGGGCGCUCAAACAAUAGUGCCGAUCUAGGAAUUGAAAGCUUUCGAUGAACAGAAAGGCAAGGAAGCAGGCAGGGAAGGUGCGGACAGAAGGAUAAAGCAGGCACGGGUUCAGCCCACUUAUGAGGACAGCCGAGUACCUGCAGCAGCUCUGAAGGGUACUGAAUAAGACGACCGUGGGGGGGAUGACUGCAGCAGCAAGGAUCUUCAUUGUGGGCA